rnacentral:rRNA from 1 species
AUUGAACGCUGGCGGCAUGCCUUACACAUGCAAGUCGAGCGGCAGCGCGGGGGCAACCCUGGCGGCGAGCGGCGAACGGGUGAGUAAUGCAUCGGAACGUGUCCUCUUGUGGGGGAUAACCAGUCGAAAGACUGGCUAAUACCGCAUGAGAUCGAGAGAUGAAAGCAGGGGACCGCAAGGCCUUGCGCGAGAGGAGCGGCCGAUGCCGGAUUAGCUAGUUGGUGGGGUAAUGGCCUACCAAGGCGACGAUCCGUAGCUGGUCUGAGAGGACGACCAGCCACACUGGGACUGAGACACGGCCCAGACUCCUACGGGAGGCAGCAGUGGGGAAUUUUGGACAAUGGGGGCAACCCUGAUCCAGCCAUGCCGCGUGUGUGAAGAAGGCCUUCGGGUUGUAAAGCACUUUCGGCCGGAACGAAAUCGCGCGAUCUAAUAAGUCGCGUGGAUGACGGUACCGUAAGAAUAAGCACCGGCUAACUACGUGCCUGCAGCCGCCGCAGUAA